UAUCUCUCUAUUCUCACUCAGACUAGUAGUGAUUUCUUGUAAGCUGAAGAAAUGCCUUUUUGGGGAGUUGAAUUAGAACCAGGAAAGCCUUUUACACAUCACUUUGGCAGAGGGCAUGGAAGGCUUCAUAUUUCUAAGGCGACUUUGGGUAUAAUGGGUCAUACCAAAGAAAGAAGUAUAGUUCAGUGUAAAACAGGGGAUAAGAGUCCGUUCUUUUUGUUGUCUUUGAGACGGUUAACAAACGAAUCAUGUACGGUGGGUAUUGAUUUCGACGAGGAGGAAGGUGAUGUUAUUUUUGAAGUUCUUGGUCCAACAAGUGUGCAUCUCAUCGGUUUCUAUGUUGCCAAUGGCCCCAAUAGACAUGUUUUAAUCGAAAAUAAUUUGGAAGACGAUGCUAGUCAUGAUGCAUACAAAGAUGCCGAGGUGGAAAAGGAAAUCACUGAAACAAAUAUGGUUAAACCACCGGAGGUUAAAUACAAGGAAGUUGAAGUAAACGGCCUUCGCAAAAGAACCUUCGCGACUGGUUUGGUCAUCGAGGAACUGAAGAAAGUCAAUAAUGAGUAUAGCAGAAUAGUCACUCCUGGAAAUAAGGUAUUUAUUCGUUACUUUGGCCAGUUAAUGAGUGAUGGCAUCAUAUAUGAAUCGAAUAUUGGUAAACCAGCCGAAUGGUUCCAACUAGAGUUUUCUUCUCACAGUGAAUGGAAAAGUUAUCAAGGGAUGGGAAAUCGGGAUUAACGGCAUGCGCGUGGGUGACAAAAGAAGACUCACAAUCCCAGCAUCUAUGGGCUAUGGAUCUGAAGAAGCUAAAAGUGUAGCACCCAACGAAUGGCUGGUGUUUGAGAUUGAGCUUUUCAACAUUGCAGAUGCAGUUGCUUGAUAUAGUUGUAAUAACCUGUAUUUAAGAUAUCGUGGUUUAAACAUCAGAUUUGUAAAUAUGUUAAUGCAAUCUUUUAAUAAUCUAUAUAUAUAUUUUAUAGUUUAAGGU